rnacentral:rRNA from 1 species
UACCAGCACCCCGAGUGGUCGGGACGUUUAUUGGGCCUAAAGCAUCCGUAGCCGGUUCUACAAGUCUUCCGUUAAAUCCACCUGCUUAACAGAUGGGCUGCGGAAGAUACUAUGGAGCUAGGAGGCGGGAGAGGCAAGCGGUACUCGAUGGGUAGGGGUAAAAUCCGUUGAUCCAUUGAAGACCACCAGUGGCGAAGGCGGCUUGCCAGAACGCGCUCGACGGUGAGGGAUGAAAGCUGGGGGAGCAAUCCGG